CAGCUCUGCUGAAUUUAUCAUGGAAAAGGAGAGUAGCAUCUUUGAAGAACUACAUCAUUUUUUUUUCCUCUGCAAGCACUGCAGAUCUCUUCUUCCAGCUAAACAUCCCUCAGGAGAAAAGGAGGAAGGAAUAAGAGAAAGAAGGAAUGGAGGAAGAGAAGGAUGAAAGGGUGGAAGGGAAGGAAGGAGAAAGAAGGAGGUAAGGAAGGAAGGGAAGGAGGAAGGGAAGAGAGAAGGAAUGAUCGGAUGGCGAGAGA
rnacentral:lncRNA from 11 species